GACUGACACCUCUUUAGAUGAA
rnacentral:miRNA from 8 species